rnacentral:lncRNA from 1 species
CACCACGAGGGCUUAGACUUUGGAAGAGGGAAGCAAAGCGAAGGAUCUCUCUAUCAUCUCUUAUGGAGGAUGGGUACAUUCCUAUUUUUCCAUUUUAUUUCUCUCUCUCUUUGUUCCUAUCUCUCCGAUCCACUGAUCGCUCAAUACGAGGCUUGAUCAUGGCGAUUUUCCCAUUUUCCCUGCUUUUUAAUUUUUUUUCACUCAAUAAUUUUGGAGAUAUUAUUCUUUCUUAUUGAAUUUUGAUUAGCAGAAAAAACCCUAAUUUCCACUGAAUUGGCGUCUCUCUCUCUUUAUAUAUAUCACUCCAUACCAGGGCUUGAUCAUAGUCAUUGGACCUAUUGUUUCUCCAAUUUUAUUUUUCGCCUUAUAUUUCUCGAAUAAAUAAGAUUUAUUUUUCAUUGUUAAUUUAUUUUUUAUUUACACAUCUUUGGGUGGAUUUCUGGUUGGUUUCUUACUGAGAUAUAUUUAUUAGAUUAGGAAAAGUGUUUUGAUAUCAAUUAUAAUUUAUUUAUUUUUAUUUAUUUUACUCUCUUACUAUCUCUAUUUUUCUCCAGUGUGCGGGUGCAUUAUACUAGAAGCUUUACGCAUGGAUAUACUCUUUGCCAAAUUAGGCAACAGCCUCUCUCUCUCUCAGUUUCUCUCUCUUGAUGGAUCUACUGUUUUGCUGAAUCAGGUAACACCCUCUCUCUCUCUCUNNNNNNNNNNNNNNNNNNNNNNNNNNNNNNNNNNNNNNNNNNNNNUCUAUCUCUCUCUCUCUCUCUCUCUCUCUCUCUCUCUCUCUCUCUCUACUANNNNNNNNNNNNNNNNNNNNUCGUACCUUCCUUCUUCCUACGUUACGUUCUUCUCCUUCGUUAGUUAGGUAGUACGUUACUACGUUUCGUUCGUCUACGUACUACGUACGUACUACCUCUCUCUCUCUCUCUCUCUCUCUCUCUCUCUCUCUCUCUCUCUUCAUGGAUAUAUUAUUACCUGAAUCAGUUAACUCCGUCUCUCGUUUACUCUCUCUAGGUACCCUUUCUUUUCCCCCUCUCUCAGUUUCUCUCUCUAACUCUUAAGUACGAAUUUUUUUUUGUGUAACUCCAACCAUAAAUUGUGUGUAUGUGACCCUAUUUUUUUAAGCUAUUCCGACUACUAAGGAUUGCCCACGUCACACAAAAUACUGUUUGAUUUUAAUUUUUUCUACAAACUUUUUGGUUUGAAAUUUGGGUUCUACUCCUCUGUGAGCCCCAAAUUUUUCGUAAAAUAAACAAUAAAAAUGGCCCUAAAAGUUAAAGUUCACAUGUAUUUUGGUAAUUUUUUGUUUUGUGUUGGAUCAAUAUUUUUGGAAGCGGUUAGAAUGCGGCCAAGCCUAUACAUGUAGAAAUGCGAUCCCUUACUAAAUUUAUUUUUUAAAUAGAAUUUGAUCUUAAUUUUUAGAGAAUAUAUAAUCGGAGAUCGUAAAUAUGAAUAAAUAAAGAAAUUUUGAAACUAAAAAUAAUAAUUCUAUUAAGAAAACAUUUAGACCAUUUGUUACACUUGUUUUUAGAUGACCACCUAUUUGUAUCCAUUUUAAAGAUGGAUGCUUUAAACGCAUGGACCUUAGUUGACACUCUAGAGCCAGCUUGUGAUAUUGUAAUUCAAGCCAUAAAUAUAUGGAAAAAGUUCCUGUACGCCCAUGUGCAUGCUACUACAGUAAAUGUCCAAUGGCCCCAGAUCGAAUCUGAGCCGUUUUGAUAGUCAGGGUUGUACAAGAAUGUUUGAAUUUUAAUUUUUUUCUACAAAUCGGAAUGAUCUGAAAUUGAGAGCGUAUGUACAUGUUAGUGAGGCGCAGCUAAUAAAAAUAUUAAAAAAAAGUAAUUCGUAAAAAAUAAAUUGAUCAAAAUACCCUUGAAUCUUUUUGGGGGUAUUUUGAUCAAUUUAUUUCAUGUAAAUAUUUUUUUGCUAUUUUUCGUAGAUUCUCCUAUUUUUAAUGAAUACACGCUUCAAAUUUCAGAUCAUUUCGAUUUAUAGAGAAAAAAUGAAAAAUAAAACACUAUCGGAUAUCUAUGAUCGUCAAAUUGGCCUAGAUUCGAUCUGGACUGUUCGGCGUUUACUGUAGCGGUACACAAAUCGGCAUACCGUAGCAUCUUCUUAUAUAUAUAUAUAUAUAUAUAUAUAUAUAUAUAGGAUAAUAUAAACUUCACACCUUUCAAAUUAGAAAGGUUAAAUGUAAAGAAAGUUGUUAAGGCCCUUCGAAUUAGAAAGGUUAAAUAUAAAGAAAGUUUUUAAGGGUAGAUUUACUAAUUUUGUAGUCUAUUUUCUAAAAAAAGUUAUUUUUUGUGAUAGCUUCAUCAUUAAGGGUUACUAGAAAACAAUGGGUAUUUUUGUCUUUUCCAUAAAGGAUAAAGUUAAAAUUUUUACUAAAAGACAAAGGCAAUUCUAAGACACUAACUUUCAAAAUGCCAUUGUACUUUUAUAAAAAUUUCAAAUUUGUCUUUACUUAAAGGUUAAGUUACCUAUUAAAAUAAUUUUUACAAAAAGUAAUGAUCUUUUUAAUAAAUACAUCCCUCACAACCUCUUUUAAUUUUAAUCGUAUUUUGAGGGGUUGUUAAUUCUAGUCAAACCUAUAUAUAUAUACAAAGAUUUGUUUAGAGUUAAUAACCCUUCAAAAUAGAAAGGUUGUUAGAAAGGGUUGUGAUGGGUGUAUUUAUCAAAACCAUUGAUUGAAAAUUCGGCGAGUCGAACCGGACUCAUUCAAUUCGACUGGGGAACAGGCAGAUUCGUGUCGGUUCUAGUGAAAUAUUGGAAAUCGCUCGGUUUUAGAGAAGAACCAGCGAUUUCAUGCUGUAAAUCACCAUGUGACGUCAUGAAUAUCUUGAUUCUUCUAUUCAUGACGUCAUGGCUCGCUGAUUCUUCAGUAGGCAUUUUUGUAAAUUUUAAAAGUACAUGGACCUUAAGGUCCGCACACCUCAUCACAUGACUCUCUCCUCACUUCGCACGUGUUAUCCUUGUUAACUAUAAAGAGGUAUUUAUUCACUACAACUUCCUUCUACCUCUUCGAUGUGGGAUAAUGUGAAGGUAUUAACUCGAAACAUUAAUAUAUUAUAUAUUUUGUUUGUGCUUUUAAUACUUCUUUCUGCAUGUGGAGGGUGUGGUUUUGAUUCUCCUUGGGACGAGAAAGGGGGUUCUCUUAUCCAACUAUUUUUCUUGUCCAAAAUACACGAGAAAGGGGGUUAUCUUAUCCAACUAUUUUUCUUGUCAAUUUUAUUUUUGUGAGGUCAAAUUUUUUUUUUAUAAAUUUUUUUCUUGUCAAUUUCAUAUUUUUGAGGUCAAAUUUUUUUCUUAUAAAAAAAUUAAAAGGUUUUUUUUAUCAAUUUCUCUUUUUAUCAAAUUUUUUUAUUAUAAAAAACAUGAAAGGUAUUUUUAUCAAUUUCGCAUUCUGUCAAAUUUUUUUCUUAUCAAUAAAAUAAAAAUUUCCUUAUAAAAAAAAUGUGAAAGGUUCUUAUCAAUUAUUUUUCUUGUCAAAUUUCUUUUUUUUGUCAAAAAAAAAUAAAAAGUUUUUGUCAAAAAAAAAAAAAGUAAUAAAAAGAUAUUGUCAAAAAAAAAAGGUUCUUAUAAAAAAAUAAUAAUAAUUCAACAAGUAUUUUUGUCAUAAGAAAAAAAUGCAAGGUUUUUUUUAUCAAUUUCGCUUUUUGUCAACUUUUUUUCUUAUCAAAAAAAUGGAAGGUUUUUUUUUAUCAAUUUUGCUUUUUGUCAAAUGUUUUUCUUAUCAAUAAAAUAAAAAGUUUCUUAUAAAAAAAAAAAAUGAAAGGUUCUUAUCAAUUAUUUUUGUUGUCAAAUUUAUUUUUUUUGUCAAAAAAAUAAAAUGUAAUAAAAAGUUAUUGUAAAAAAAAAAAAGUUCUUAUAAAAAAAUAAUAAUAUAACAAGUAUUUUUUGUCAAAAAAAAGGUUAUUGCUAAAAACAAAAAAAAAAUGUAAUACGACAAACAUUUCUUGUAAAAAAAUAAAAGGUUUUUGUCAAAAAAACUAAAAUGUUCUUAUAAAAAAAUCAUUUUUUAUUGUAGUCUAUGUAUGAUUAUAUACUUCAUCCAUAAUAGUUCUAUGAUUUUUAUUUUGUGUGAUGUAAUUUAAUGGUUAAAAUAAGUUCAUACAGAGAAAAAUAUCUCAAUAGUCACAUACUGACGAAAAAAAUAAAAAUUAAUAAUAUAGUACCUCGAUUUCUUAUUGGAUUCCUAAAAAACAACAUUUAUAAUAAAUUUUAAUAAUUUUUUUAUAUUUUUUUUUACAGCUUAAUCCGACUGAUUCGGCUGAUUCCCUAUCUGGCUCGUCGAUCCACAGAUCCGGAUGGUUGUGGUGCCCGAUCCGUGCCACCGAUCCGUUUUUUAAACCACUGAUCAAAACAAUCAUUACUUUUUUAUUAAAAAAUUAUUUAAAUCGGUAAAUUUACCAUUAAGCAAGGCAAAUUUGAAAUUUUCACAAAAGCACAAUAGCAUUUUGGAA